rnacentral:rRNA from 1 species
CGGGUGAGUAAUGCGUAGGGAGCUACCCGAUAGAGGGGGAUACCAGUUGGAAACGACUGUUAAUACCGCAUAAUGUCUACGGACCAAAGUGUGGGACCUUCGGGCCACAUGCUAUCGGAUGCGCCUACGUGGGAUUAGCUAGUUGGUGAGGUAAUGGCUCACCAAGGCGACGAUCUCUAGCUGGUUUGAGAGGAUGAUCAGCCACACUGGAACUGAGACACGGCCCAGACUCCUACGGGAGGCAGCAGUGGGGAAUAUUGGGCAAUAAGGGAAAGCCUGACCCAGCGACGCCGCGUGCGGGAUUAAGACGGUCGGGUUGUAAACCGCUUCAGCAGGGAAGAAGCGAAA